rnacentral:rRNA from 1 species
GUGGGGAAUCUUGCGCAAUGGGCGAAAGCCUGACGCAGCAACGCCGCGUGCGGGAUGACGGCCCUCGGGUUGUAAACCGCUUUCAGCAGGAACGAAUCUGACGGUACCUGCAGAAGAAGGUCCGGCCAACUACGUGCCAGCAGCCGCGGUAACACGUAGGGACCAAGCGUUGUCCGGAUUUAUUGGGCGUAAAGAGCUCGUAGGCGGUUCGGUAAGUCGGGUGUGAAAACUCUGGGCUCAACUCGGAGAGGCCACCCGAUACUGCCGUGACUUGAGUCCGGUAGGGGAGCACGGAAUUCCUGGUGUAGCGGUGAAAUGCGCAGAUAUCAGGAGGAACACCGGUGGCGAAGGCGGUGCUCUGGGCCGGUACUGACGCUGAGGAGCGAAAGCGUGGGUAGCAAACAGGAUUAGAAACCCCGGUAGUCC